GCUUGACUGUAGCUUGGAAWUGAAUUCGGGCUCUUUUUUCGCAGUAUAGGUGGGAGGCGUUGAUAAUAAGUUUUCGGGCUUAUUGGAGCCANUCAGUGAGAUACCACUAUCAAAGAGCUAGGAUUCUAAUAGGACUCNCUUGAAUCAGGAUCCUUGACAGUUUCAGGCGGACAGUUUGUCUGGGGCGGAUGCCUCCUAAAAGGUAACGGAGGCGUGCAAAGGUUCCCUCAGGCUGGACGGAAAUCAGCUGUAGAGUGUAAAGGUAGAAGGGAGCUUGACUGCAAGACCAACAAGUCAAGCAGGGGCGAAAGCCGGCCUUAGUGAUCCGACGGUACCGAGUGGAAGGGCCGUCGCUCAACGGAUAAAAGUUA
rnacentral:rRNA from 1 species